CCAACUGGGCAGAGGAAUCCUCCUCCUCCUGUCGUCACUGGCUGUCCUCUGCUGAAACCCUACCUCUGUCCUCAUGGCUUCUCCAGGAUGCAGAGCAGGGUCUGGCACUGCUGAGACUAGAAAGAAGCAGAUGGGAUACACAACAGCUGGAAUGAGAAAGGAGAUCUCCAGUCACACAAGUAGCAGACCUGCCCAGCCUUGGCACUGGAUCCCUGUGUUCAAACAGCCUUUAAACAUUGACUCUUGUUUUGCGUGCACGAGCAUCUCCCUGUGUGUGUGCACAGGGGAAUCGGGUGCAGACAGUCUGUUGGAUGGUCAGUGAGAGAAGCAAGCCUGAGUCUUCCUAAGCAUAGCCUGAGAUGGGUACCAGCUAUUGCUGUGCAAUUUGGCUGGAUGGCUCCAAGCCACCUUACUGCUCCAGCCAUCGUUGCCUGCUUGGAGGAGGGAGGUUGGAAAUUCACAGCUGGAGUGGAUGAAUCUACAGUUUGGGCAUCGGAGCUGAAGCAUCCUUGUGUUUUACAACAAUUGCUGAUCGAAACUCAAGUGCACUGAAUUCCACCUGCCACCCCCAGCAUCGCCUCUGCUCCUGACGCUGCCAGCACCCGAGCGCGCCGGAAUGAAAGCACUGGCGGAAGCGGUUCACCGUUCGGCCGCAACCUGCUGACCUUCCUCUCCCAAACCCCGGGGUGUGUUCCACUAAACGUCUGCUCUGCAGGCCACGGUGUAGGAUGACGUCACUGCGGUUCAAGUCGUCAAAAAGAGUUCUCUGUUUUCAGGUCCGUGCAGGACAGACACCCCUUGCCUGAGCUGCAGCUCCUCGCCACCUGUGGAGCCAGCCUGCUGCUUUAACACACAGAUGUCUGUAACUGCUGGCCGAAUUUCCAGCUGGGAUUUUCUCUCACAAAGCUUUUCAGAAGAGCUAGAUGGGCUGUUCACUUACAUGAGUUCCUACUCAGUGUUUCAUCUCUGCUCCUGGCCACAGAAUGUGUCCUAUGUCCACUGCCCCAGCUCUCUUGAACUUGCCUGUGGCUGCAAAACUUUUUUGCCUGAUUAAACUCCCCAGUCCCUUCCUC